GUGCCAGCCGCCGCGGUAAUACGUAGGGGGCUAGCGUUAUCCGGAUUUACUGGGCGUAAAGGGUGCGUAGGUGGUUUCUUAAGUCAGGAGUGAAAGGCUACGGCUCAACCGUAGUAAGCUCUUGAAACUGGGAAACUUGAGUGCAGGAGAGGAAAGUGGAAUUCCUAGUGUAGCGGUGAAAUGCGUAGAUAUUAGGAGGAACACCAGUAGCGAAGGCGGCUUUCUGGACUGUAACUGACACUGAGGCACGAAAGCGUGGGGAGCAAACAGGAUUAGAUACCCGCGUAGUCC
rnacentral:rRNA from 1 species